GACGAACGCUGGCGGCGUGCUUAACACAUGCAAGUCGAACGAAGUGGCGAACGGGUGAGUAACGCGUAAUCAACCUGCCCUUCAGAGUGGGUCAACCGUUUGAAACGACUUCUACUCCCGCCUACUUAUGGAGGGGCUUGCGUCUGAUUAGCCUGUUGGAGGGUUAACGGCCCACAAAGGCAAUGAUCAGUAGCCGGUCUGAGAGAAUGGACGGCGAAGAGGGAACUGAGACACGGCCAGGACUCUGAGGGGAGGCAGCAGUGGGGAAUCUUCCGCAAUGAACGAAAGUCGGACGGAGCAACGCCGCGUGAGUGAGAAAGGCCUUCGGGUUGUAAAGCACUGUUAAUCGGGACGCGGUACGAAAUAGAAAGCAACGGAUAACUACGUGCCAGCAGCCGCGGUAAUAC
rnacentral:rRNA from 1 species